rnacentral:misc_RNA from 1 species
UUAAAUCACACUCAAAUGUUACUAACAGCGAACACCUUGCCUCACAAGGCGUCUUUGACCUCGCUUUGGGGCAUCAUCAAAGUAACCAAUGGCAUAGAAAGCCAGCAAUGUCGAGAAAAAUCCAACGGGAAAUCCAAUUCCUACCAUAACCCAAGAAAACCAUGACCCCUGGCUCCCACUUUCCUCUGGCUUUGGCUCUGGUAAUGCCUUCUCACAUGACACUUGAACUUGCAUCCCACAUAGUCCACUAUUUCUACUAUUGUUAGCAUAAAAAUUUGGAUCGUUCAAACUGUCCAUUUGAGGGCCACUUGGA